GACGAACGCUGGCGGCGUGCUUAACACAUGCAAGUCGAACGGAAAGGCCCUGCUUUUGUGGGGUGCUCGAGUGGCGAACGGGUGAGUACCACGUGAGUAACCUGCCCUUGACUUUGGGAUAACUUCAGGAAACUGGGGCUAAUACCUGAUAGGAGCUCCUGCUGCAUGGUGUGGGUUGGAAAGUUUCGGCGGUUGGGGAUGGACUCGCGGCUUAUCAGCUUGUUGGUGGGGUAGUGGCUUACCAAGGCGUUGACGGGUAGCCGGCCUGAGAGGGUGACCGGCCACAUGGGGACUGAGAUACGGCCCAGACUCCUACGGGAGGCAGCAGUGGGGAAUAUUGCACAAUGGGCGGAAGCCUGAUGCAGCAACGCCGCGUGCGGGAUGAUGGCCUUCGGGUUGUAAACCGCUUUCGCCUGUGACGAAGCGUGAGUGACGGUAAUGGGUAAAGAAGCACCGGCUAACUACGUG
rnacentral:rRNA from 1 species